CUGCUCUCAAUGGCGUGCUGGCCGCUCCUCCUCAGAGCACGGCUCGGUUCACCCAGGGGAACGGCGCCCAGCCACCGCGUGUGGUUGAGGGUGACGUUAACCAUUGGUACAAGAGCAAGAAGGCAGCGCCCCCGAGGACACUGAAGAAACGGGGAGGCCCCGCCUCCCCUGUCACUCAUGCCUCAGCGGCUGGCAGGGUCUGUAGUGCGGGCAGCCUCGCUGGUGUGUCGGGGAAGGGGGCCGCCAGUCUAGACGACGCCGCCGCCGCCUCGCCUGUUGACUGUCAACAAAUGGCGCCACGAGUCAUCCUGUCCAAGAACCAGAGAAGAAGGUCACGUGAUCUGCUGGCACCUUCUGAUCACAUUGUAACGGACUGACAUGUUGUAAACCGGAAAGCCUGUCCAGAGAACCAUACACUCUCAGGAAUACCACCCCCACCACCACCGGAGGAGGAGGAGGAGGACUGGGAAAAGGAGAGCCAAGAGGUCACGCUGAUUGACUGGGAAAAUAACUGUUUUGGCAUCAAUCCCUACGGUCCACAGGAUGUGAUCCAUUUUUCCUUGCGGUAUUCACCCUUCCAGCGAAGGCACGAAGUCGUCCCACUAUUGAUGGCUGGUUACAGCCCGGAGGUGCACCACCCGCAGCCCGUCCGUUGGAGGCACUACGGCACCCCCACCGAGCAAGGGCAGUUUGCAGACGCUGACCACUAGGCCAGGCGUGUGCGGCUGUGUGACCGGGUCGGUAGAAAAAGUUCUGGAGUUUUCUUAUUGGUUAGAAUCACUGCAACAGCUUCAGUCCAAUAAUAAUAAUAAUAAUUGCGUUCAGUUGUUUUAUUUAUUUUUUGUUUUAUAUCUAUAUUUUAUAUUUAGGUUAAAUGGUAAGCUAUUCAUUUUUUUAUCUUAAGGAAUGAUUUUAGAUGAUCUGCUAUACUUUGCUGUUGUACCGCAUACAUUUACGGUUCUUUCCAUGUCUUCAUAACUUUGGCUAGAAUUCCAGGAAACUGAAGGAAUACCCUUUUAUUGUCAUGUUUACCCUUUGUUUUAAAAUGCCUCUAGUAGGAACAAUGUUGUCAUAGUUCAUUAUCAAUGUUUGUUCAUCAGAUUUGUGAGUAGAUGAAGAAACGAUUUUGAUUUGGGGUCACCCAACUCGACCACGAAAUUUGGUUUGGAUGCUGUAUCAACAAGUUGUGAUCUGACCUUUCACAGUUGCAAUAAAUCCAAUUUUCUUCACUAAA
ensembl:lncRNA